rnacentral:rRNA from 1 species
UACGAAGGGGGCUAGCGUUGCUCGGAAUCACUGGGCGUAAAGGGUGCGUAGGCGGGUCUUUAAGUCAGGGGUGAAAUCCUGGAGCUCAACUCCAGAACUGCCUUUGAUACUGAAGAUCUUGAGUUCGGGAGAGGUGAGUGGAACUGCGAGUGUAGAGGUGAAAUUCGUAGAUAUUCGCAAGAACACCAGUGGCGAAGGCGGCUCACUGGCCCGAGUACUGACGCUGAGGCACGAAAGCGUGGGGAG